UUCUUUUUCUUCUCUUCCUUUCCUGCUCUUACUUUUCUUACUCUUCUUGCUCUUCUCUUACUCUUCCUUUACUCUUUCUCUUACUCUUCUCUUCUCUUAGGGGUUGCACUUAGAGAUGAGAGAUCACUCUCACUAUACCUGGGGUUAUAAAACCCGAGACCAUAGCAUCUCCUAGCAACUCUCUAGGCAGAAUGAGUGACGAACAGAUGUUCGUCUGGGAAGGCUUCCUCAACUGGACAAGGCGUAGAACUGGAUGAAAGCCGACUAAGGUGAUCAGCCACAAGAUUUUCUUUGCCUUUUUUGUCUCUUAUCUCUAAAUC
rnacentral:lncRNA from 1 species